GUCGCGAGUGCAGGGUCGCCCUGGCCGCGAGGCGCCGCGCGGGUGCCGGGGUGCGGGGGACGGGCAGGAGCGCCCCCCCGUGGGCGCCGGCGCGCGGGGCAGCGGCAGCUGCAGCCGCGGGCUGGUUAAGGGCACGUACGUGCGGGGCGGGGCCUGCGUGGCGGUCCGGGGGCGCACGUGGCUCGGGCAGGACAUCCUAGCGACCCGGGGUCACGCGUGGACUCGUUCUCUCGAGGGCAGGUGUGCGGGCGAGACAGGUGGACCUGGCUCCCGGACGCCGUGUGCGAAGCAAGAGCCGUAGCUUCCUCCUUGGUUCUUGGAACGUGUGCUGCGUCCGCGCCCAUAUGAGCUGUGCGCCUGUCCCCCGCCGCCCCCCCACGUAGACUUAAACCACACAAGUAUUUGAAAACAAAAUGAAAAUGCAUCCUCUCCCAGUGUGAGGACAGGAGCUGCGGAGGUGGGCCGGUCCCGCGCCUCGCGGCAGGAACUCAGACAGAGUUACCGGAGGAAACCCAAUAGCAGACCUCCGCCUCUGUUCUUCCGCCUGCCUGUAAGUGCCGCGUGAGCAAGAGGAAAGGGGUGAACGAACAAGCAGCAGUUUCACUUUAAAAGAGGAUAGUUUUCCAGCUCCUGUAUUUUGAGAAAUCCCCAGAAAGCACUGCCAGCUGUGGUGACGCCUAAAGUUCUCAUGCUCAUGCUCUGGCAUGAAAAACGAGGUGCGAGCUGGAUAAUGAGGCGACAGCUCUAACCCUGAAAGGUGUCUGGAAAACACACCCACAGGAGCAGUAACCUAGCCUUGCCAUGCCCUGGCCACUAGCAACGUUGUCGGCCGCUCCGAUGACUCCUAGCACCUUCUGAGUGACGCCCAGUGCGGUGCAACCAAGGGCAAGACUUGGGGGUCAGAAUUCUGUUUUCGCGGAGCGCAUGAACAGGGAAGAUAGCCUCCACCUAGGUGGUCGUCCCCUGUUCAUCCCCUCCUCCGAUGAGGCUUUGGUGACAGUGCCCACUGCUGGACUGUCAACCUGAUGUCAAGGACUCCCUCAUCGCUGUCUGGUCCACUUGUCAAGGCCUGCAGGCCCUCUUUGCCUGUGCAUUCUGUAGACAUCAUUAACUGACCCGUCCUUUGUUUUCUUCCUGCCCUCAAAACUCAGCGAACAGUGGAAGAACCUCCCACAUGUAACCUGUUUCCACCCCCGUGUCCUAGGCUGCUCUUUGGUUCACGAUCUCUAACCUGGGUUACUUGCCAGAGCCUGGUGAUGUAUUGUACUAUUCCCAAAUCCAAGGCUCACUUCCUGCCUUACCCUCUUUAUGCCGUCAUUUGAUGAGUGUCUGUGAAGACCUUUGACCUUCAUGUCUCUCCAUGUAAGUUUUCAAAUCCAUCAUGCCCCUUUCCUGUACUAUGUUAGAAAUAAAUUAAUGUUAAUGUAAUGUUUUAAGUAUAUGCUGUCCUGAGUUGUUAUGACCGAAGAAUACCAUGUAAAUGAGAGCGAAAAGUCAUUAGAAAUGUGAGACUCAAAUCACUCUUUUAGGCUUCUCGUGUUUUUAGAGUCAGGAUUCCUCUAGACCGAUGGUUCUCAACCUUCCUAACGCUGUGACCCUUUAAUACAGCUCCUUAUACUGUGCUGACCCCAACCAUGAAAUUCUUUCACUGCUGCUUCAUAACUGUAAUUUUGCUACUGUUGUGAAAUAAUAUGGAUACCUGGUAUGCAACCUCUGUGAAAGUGUUGUUGGACCUCUGAAGGGGUCUUGACCCACAGGUUGAGAACUGCUGUUCUAGGGGCAGGUGACAGCACCAUUUCAAUUUGGCUUAAUAUUUUUACUUGGUCGAUGCCAAAUGCCUAGGGUUGUUUGGCCACUUAAGGUCCAGCACAGUUGGAGCUGUGACUCAGAUAUUAGACAUCUCUUUUCUAGCUUUGGCUGCAUGUUCAGACAGAUUGGUUUCAUAUGAUAUAAAUCAUUACAAGGUAUUGUCACCUGAGUCCUAGAAAGAAACAGCCCCCUUUUGCCAAUACUUGCCAUUAAAGUCUCAGAACCAUUCUUCCAUGGGACAAUUUGAGUCACUUGCUAGUUAUCCCUGAUGCUUUUUGAGGUUUACCCUCAAAACCAAAAUGCACUUACAUGGUAGAACCAAAUAAAUAUCAAUAUUUGAUUGUAACAUUUUAUUUUUUCAAAACUGUUGGAAUUAGUUUUUAUGUUUUCAUUUUUUAGGUUUCCAGAAGAUAGAUACCUAAAAUUCCUUAAUAUUCAGGAAAUGGUAGAAACAAAUGAAAAAUGGAGUUGGAGCAAUAAAAAGAGUUGGUAGUUUUUGAAAAGUGCAUCUGUGGGCUUUAACUUGUUUCAGCCUUCUGGUAUAAGGUGUUACAAAACUGUUUCAGUGAGGCUUGUAAAUUAAUGUGGUAGAAAGAUUUAGUGAGCUACAGAUUACCCAUAAUGAAUUUGAGAGCUUUUGUUACCCCUCACUCUGGCUUUAAGCAUGGCCUUGCUUUUUGGUGAGCUCAAAGGCAGUUUCCUCUUGCUGUUCUGAAUUUCCAUCUGCAGUCACAAGGAAGUGCAACACCAGUUAUGAUCCUUCUCCUGGCAGCCAUGCUCCCCUGCCCCCGCCCCCGGGAGAACAGCCUGGGAAGGAGAGGGCACAUCCAGGAAAGACAGAAUUUUCUCACAGGACUGGAUCCUUUUGUUAAAUCAAAAUGGAUUCUCCACACCAAACAGGAUUUCAUCUCUGUAGUCGUGGUUCAAAGGCCCAGCCAGUGCUGAUCACUGGGAUUUGGUUCAUUUCUUCUUAAAGUAAAAGGGAAGGAUUGCUUUAUUCUGAAGAGUAUUACAUUUAUGGUAUCAAAGGCCAUUUCAGUUCAGUGCCUGGGAGACAGAUACCCUACAAACUGUGGGUCUGAUCAUAAGUUAUUCCAGUCAAAUGAUCUUUCGGCUUUCACCAAAGCCUGUCUUCCUGUUGCCUGGUCAGACUCAAGUUGAUGGAACAUUGCUGCUUUCCAGUCCUAAAGGUUAUGCUUCACAGUUAACUUCGUAACUGGACACCUAUGAUAGAACUGAGCCUUUUGUUUAGUGAAGACCAGGUUUGCAACAUUUUGCUUUCUAAAUUUUAUUUGAAAAAAAAACAAAGAAUGCAUAUAUAUUGCUCUUGGCUCUUAUACCAGGUUCUACAUUUUCUUACCGAGUUCAGAAAGAAAGACUGUUUUCCAAACUAAAAGAUACAACACAGUUUCCAGAAUGAAGCCUUAAGAAUGCUGUAGCAUGUGCAAGUAGGAGUUUCAUAUGAAGAUUUUCUUCAGAUAGGUGAGAUUUCCUUUAAGGUCAAAGGAAAAAAACACAAUGGGAUUCUGCAGACGUGUGUGUGUGUGUGUGUGUGUGUGUGUGUGUGUGUGUGUGUGUGUGCAGCCUCAAACACUAAUUGGUUUUUUUCUCAAGAAGUAAUUUAUAUGCUGUUCCCCACACUUGCUUAUGGAGACAGAUGACCGUGUAUGCAAUUCGGCAGGCAUUCUCGGAGUGCCAGUGGUGUGCGAAACCAGGGUGUGCGAAACCAGGCCUCUGAUGCACAGCAGCCAGCAGCACGCACCUUUUCUCACUUCUGCCUCUAGCUACUAAGCAGGCUUACUGGAAAUGGCAGCUUUGACUCUUCCUUCUAUGUGUUUACUUUUGUCCUGUAAUCAGAAGGUAGAUAAUAAAACCUACACACACACACUGCACACACACACAUACACGAAAUUAAUGAAUGAGAGAACUUCAAACAAAUGAUUGGAGGGUAUACUUCAAAUUGAAUGUGUGAGAGAGCUGUUGGGUAUUGUGACUGUGGGUGGCUGGAAACCCCUGCACUGUUUGUUUAUUUACAGUUAGACGAAGAUUCCCUAAGGCUCAGAAUGCUCUUUGAGAAUGCUGCUAACCUGAGAGAUCGUUGAACCUGAAAACAAUUGAGUAGAGCUUUAAGGAUGGAGAAAGUAGAAACAACAAAUAUAGAGACUGUAUUUUUAAAAAAUCCCUCUCAAAAAGAAGCAUUUCCAAAUGGUCUUUCCUAGCAGACUUAUUGCAGAUUAAGUCAGAGGCCCAUGCUGUCUUCCACCCCAUGUCAGACGUCAGAGACAGCGGCAUAAGCCAUCAAUUCUCUAUGUGCGCUCCCUCCACUGAGCCACCCUUCCUUACCCUGCUCUUGCCAUGACAACUGACCUCUUAAGACUUUCAGCUGGUUCUGGCUCAAUAAUCAGCCCUGUCUCCGCUCCAGAGCACCAGUGUUUCCUGGGAACACUCUUCCAUCUUCUUCCCAAGGCCAGGAGGUCUGUCAGUCUAUGGGCUCUCAGCAUCUGCUAAUGAACUCUGACCCUGCCAACAACUGUUUGGUAAAAUCUCUCCGUUUUACAAGAGUUUAGUUCCUUUCUUCCCAUGAUCCCACAAACCUGCAUCAGCAUAAAAUCUUGUGUCCUGAGAACUAAUACAUCUAAUAUACUUUAUUCUUUUGUAGAACCAUUAAUUGUCUAAUUAUAGAAAAAAUAGCUAUGGAUUAAAUGCUGACUUAGUACAAAUUUAAAUUAGCUACAUGACAUUACCAAAGCUAUAUACUUCGAAUUAACAAACGAAGCUUAUACAGUUUUUUUAAUAUUAAAGUGAAAAUAUUAAAAAAUAUUUCUUAAAUUGGCCAGUGCUAAAUCCCAUAGCAAAGCUUGUGUGUCCUCAUAGCACAGACAGGUAUUAAUGCCUUGGGAAGCCAUUAAAGCUAUCUUGAGUAUUUGAAUUAUGAAGAUCUUACCAAAAUAUAUUCAUUGUUGGAAAAGCAUAACAACUCUGGUUCAGUUUUUAAGCUUGUAAACUUUUAUCUGUGCCUAGUUUAAAAAAUAAGGAUUUUAUUGUUAUUGCAUAAAAUAGGUGAUGAUUUAUAUUUUAAAGUAACAUAUUGGAAGCAAGCCACCACACAAUAUACUUCAAUAUUUAGAUACUUAUGAGGGAAUCCUUUUCAUCAGCCAUUUAACUUAACUGUGCAUUUUAUAACUACUGCUUACAUUGCUUGAGGUUAGUUUUUGUGCAAACCAAAAACACAAAACCAUUGGAAAGUAACCUUUGGCAAAUGAACUAUCUAAACACAACCAUGAAAGCUAGUACAAAUUCAGCUCCUGUUCCCAGACUAGAAGAACAAGCUGUCUGAAUUCCUAAUAUUGACUUGUAAUGACUGUAAAUAAGUAUGGAUGUGUUACAAUGUAUCUCAUUUUCAUGCCACAUUAAAAUACUUCCUGAAUGUUUUUCUAACCUACUCAAUUACUAUGAAAUUGGUGCCUCCAAUAUGUAAUGCCCCAACAUUAUCAAGAUGUUAAGGUUGUAUUGAGAUAAGGUUUCUAUGGCCUUUUUAGACAAAAAUCAAAACUUUAGGGUGCCUGAACCUUAAUUCUUACUGAUAGCUCUGGAGUGUGCAUGGUCAGAGUGCCCUGCACAGUGGCUUCUCUGUGGUGAUUCCAGAAGCAGGAUGUGAGAAAGAGCAGAGUCUCCUUCCUGUGCCCACUAGGCUGACAUCUGAUCAGUCAUCACCUCUCUGCAAUGAGUAGCAGAUAUUUGCCUAAGAGGUUGACUGUGAAGAGGGAAUGAAAGAAUCCACGCUGUUGGCUAGCCAUAGCUAAGAGCUGUCCCCCACCAACCCCAGAACCCCAAGUUCAUCUCCACUGUACCAUGCUUGCUCCAUACCUCCUAAAUCACUCUUGGCCAGAUUUUUUCCUUGAAAGUCCAGACAAUGCCUUUCUUUAGUAUUAAUACAUAGAAAGUCUUUGACCUUCAAAUUGAAAACAAAGACUACCUGUGUACUUAGUAACAAUGUGUACAUAACUGGCAGUUUCACAAACAGUUUCACAAACACUAUAAAUCCUCGUUUUCUGUGUGUAUUCAACCAAUGUGUAUUGACUACCCUCCACAUAACAUAUUAUUUACCUCGAGGUCGGGACAUUUGUUAGUAAAUAAGCCCAGUGUAUUAGGAAGUAUCUGAUUUUUGUAGCAGUCAUGUUUUCUUCUUGCAUUAUCCCUGGCACAAAUUGUUACUUGUUCCACAUCCUGCACAUCAGACUGACCACGGAAUCUAGGCUGCUACACAAUUAUGACAGCUAUAUUAUUUUUUUAGUUAAAGCAUCCUUGAAGAGAUACUUUACAAGCCAAGAUUUGGCUGUUUUGUAGAUGAUGACAUUUAAUUUUUUUGCCAUUUCUAACUGAGGGUUUAAUUGGAAAAUCAGCAUUAUAAAUUUUAUGUUGUCAUUUCUAUUUUUAAGUUUAAGCAAUUUCAAGGAUUGGGUCUGGCUGCCUGCAAACUAAAGAUGAAGGUAACUGAUUUUGGGUUUGUACAUUCUGCCAUUUUAGAGUGGUUUCCUGGGCUAUGGGAAGUAUAAUUUUAUAAAUUUGAUUAAGAAAGGAAUGCGGUACCUCUGUUUAAGGUCAGGAACAGAAUGUAUAGGGACUGCUGCUCUGGUUCAGCCUUCCCUCAUCCCUGAUUAUAUUCAGUCAGGGAACCACACCUUGCCUAUCUGACCUCUCAGCUUCCAUAUGAGACCUCAUGUUCAUUACGUAUAUGUGACCUUCCAUGUCGCAUUGCCAUGGCCACUUCAUGGAAUUGUUUUCCCUUCUUACAGAUGGACCCUCUUGGCCUUGUCCCCUCCAUGAGUGUGGAAGGGAGGCUUUGACAUUAUGCUUGUGUAGACAUAGAGCUUGCCGUAUUAUGCUGGAAGUGUGGUUCUUUAAAUAGAUAAUCUCCCAAGGAAAUUGCCCACAAUGCUGAGUGCACCUUGUAAAAGGUGAGGCUAGAAUAUAGGGUGCAUUCUCAGCAUUGCCCAGAAGCUGAGUGCAGUCUCUGGAGUAGCUAAACCAAAUUUAUAGCAGUUCAUUAGUGUGAGGGAUCAUGGGAACAGCGGAUUGCCAUCAUCGUGGCAGAGACGAAGAGCUCAGACAAAGCUCACAAAAUGGAGCUCUGUGGAGGGUUCUCCCUUAUUCUAUAGAAACCCACAUGCCUGUUUUGAGCCCAGUUUUCUUUAGAGCAUAUGUCUUGCAGAGCAACCAAAAGGAUGUUUAUAUCCUAGUCACUUGGCACAAAGUCUGACACUGCUUCAGGGAGAUUCAUUUCAGACCUAAAGGAUGGAGCUAAAAAAUAGAUGAGGUUUGUUUGGUAGUCACAAGAACUGGCCCUACUGCAAAUUUAGUUUUUCUCUUUUCUUACUAGAUGGAGCUACAUUUGUUUUUUGCUAGAAGAUAAAUAGGGAGGCCUAAAUCAGUUUGGUUAGUCUCACUCUUUCUAAAUGAAAAUAGGUUUGCUGUUGUCCGAGGAGAUGAGGACUAUUUGGAACUCUUAAUGAUUGGCAUUGCCCACAGAAUUGCUUCAGCUGUGUCAAAUUGCCCUAUGUUCCUCACACAAUUUCCAAAUGAUUGCCCAUGAAGGAAGUAUACUUGAUGUUAGUGAGGGUAACAAGAUGCAUUAAAUACGGUAUUUCUGUUAGUGUUUCUGGAAGAACACUGGUAGGGUAGGUAUCAACCCAGGUCUCCUGGAUUAGGAUUGUAUCCUUUAGCCUUUUUUUGUAACUCUGUAUCUGUCCAGCCUGUAAACCUCAGUUAACGUGUGUUUUAAUACUGUUUCCUUUGAUGCCUUAGGGAGAGGGUUUCCUUUUAGUAGUUUUGGAAUUCGCGUAAUGUCCGCUGGUAAUAUCUAGGCAUUUCUCUAUCCCUUUCAGCCUUGCAAACCACACACGAGGAUGCUCGUGGAAGUGCUCUCAGGCCCUUGUUUGCUUUCACCAAUAAAUCAUUCAUAAUUAGGAGAGAUCUUUUCUUCGCAGUACAAGCAUCUCUUUGAAAAGCAGUUCUCUUUUGUGGAUGAUGUUUAACAUCUGAAGAACUAGGAUAACCUUUUUCAUGAGCACUGCUCUAGCCAAAGCAUUAUUUUGUGGGGUGAACUCAAGGUUACAUAUUUUAAGCAAAGCAUCCGAAUUAAUUCCACUGGGAAAAUGAUCCUGUCCACAAACUGUGGAUGCAUUGAAAAGACAGUCAGAGCCUACAUAGGUACAUUUUUUCCAUGGAGAGACUUUAGUAGUGUAUGUGAGAGUUGGCAAAACAGUGCAAUUGCCUACAUUUACAGAGGGCUAGCUACUGAAAACUAGCAUCCCUUCCACAGGCAGACGCACAGUCACUCAACACAAGUCCUUCCGGCACUUACUAACACCAGUGUCUGGGUCCGUAAGCGUGGUGAGACUGAGGUAGUACUUGCACAGGGCUUUUGGUUUACAGAGGUGGGGUUAUUGUCUCCUCCCUCUAAAGGCCUGUUCGCUGUCUCUUGCAGCACUGUCCCUUGUGAAAGUAGCCCUGGGUCAGACUCAAGUCUUGGCUGGCUCUGACUUACUCUUAAAUGUGAUACCUUUUUCUUCUAAGCAAUGACAUUGAAUUUGAAAUUCUUUUCUUGUUAUUAUUUUUAGAUGGGGUCUUACUAUGUAGCCCUGGCUGUCCUGGAAAUCACUCUGUAGACAAAGCUGACCUUAAACUUUGCCUCCUGAGUGCUGGUACUAAAGGUAUAUGUUGCUACACCCAGCUUUAUUUGAAAAUUCUUAAAGAUCAUAAAUCCCUCUGUUUCCUUCUCAUUUGUCCCUAUUAUAUGUCACUGACAGAGACAGAUUAUUGGCUAACCUUACAGUCAUUUCUACAGCUGUGACUUGACAAUUAUAAUUUUGGGGAGGGCAGGGGACCUGGGGAGAUGGCUCAGUUGGCAAAGUGCCUACCUUGCAAGCAAAAAGAGCUGACUUAAAAUCCCAAAACACAGGUUAAAAAUCAAGCAAGCAAACAAGAAACAACCAGGCUUGGAGGUUCACAUUGAGGAGGUGGAGACAGUAGGGUCCCUGGAACUCGCUGGCCAGCCAACCUACAAUACUUGGAAAGUUCCAAGUACACACAUAGACACACACACACACACACACACACAGGCACACACACACACACACCUCUCUCUCGUUACUAAUCUUGCACUACUUUUAAUAGCUCAGCUUUAAUCUCUUCCUGCCAGAAGCUUUGAUCUGGCUACAUGUAAUGAGAGCGAAUUUGCUUUUCUAGUAGUUAAAUCCUUCCUGUUUCACGUAGAGGAAGUCUGCUUACUUCAUACCAGGCUAAAUGGUAGUGCCUAGUGAUGGAUAUGAUAAUUUACCAAUACAUACCUGUGAAGGCAUAUUAGUAACAAAAUGAAAAGUAACUUCGUUAAACUGAAACUCGUUGUCUCGCUCAGUGUGCAAAGUGAGCAGCUGAGUUUAAAUAUUUGCAUCGCUCUUCCCAAUUGGAGAUUUAACAUGGUUUGACAAGUUAGUUGUUUUCCUGCCAUUUUAAAGAUUUAGCAUCUCUACGUUCCCUUUUGUUGGGAUGCGCUACUGUUUUUCCCAUGGCUCCUCCUCUUCACCCACCCACCACAACUUUUGUGCCUUUUAAUAUCUUUUCUAUAGUGACAAGGUUAUGAACUUGACAAUUCUUGAGAUACCACCUCCCAAGAGCUUUAUUUUAUAAAUUCCAACUCCAUCUUCCUGAAAGCAUUCCAAGAAUAUGCGUUCCCUUGUGCAGUAUGCAGGACUGGCAUUUUAAAAGUGUUCUAUGACCACUGUACACACAGCAGUGGGUCAUACACAAGAUGCUUACAGAAUUGCUUUAAUUAUGUUUUAUCUCUUGUUUUGUUUUUAAAAACUCAUCUGGAGCCAGUAAUGUUACACUUUCAGUCCCAGAACUUGGAAGACUCUGGCAGGUGGAUGACAAGUUUGAAGCCAGACUGUACUACACAAACCCUAUCUCAGGAGCUCAACGACUAGAGAUGUAGCUCAGUGACAGCCUGCAGAGGGCCUUGGGUUUGGUCAGCAGCACUGCCACCAAAGCAAACAAAAUGCAUUUAUCCCACUUUCAUGUAUGGCAGGCACUGUAGCCUAGAAGGAUGUCCCUGGGAAGCAACCUCAUGUGUUAUGUGUGUAGUGUGGGUGCAUAUAUGUGUGAGUGUUUGCAUGUGUGUGUACAGGUUUACGUGUGUGGAGAUCCAAGGUUGAUGGUGGAAAUCUUCAUUUAUUGUUCUCGACCGUAUUCAUUGAGACAGAAUCUCAUUUAAAACCAGAGGUCACCAUUAAGGCUGUUCUGACUAGCCAACUAGCUCUGGGGAGCCUAUCUCCAUCUUCCAGGAGCUGGAAUUACAGGUGAGCCACCACUUCCACCUGGCACUUACCUGGGCUCUGGAGAUCUGAACUCCAGUCCUCGCACUUGAAGGGCAGGUACUUUAAGUUCCAUGAGUAUACUUUUCACAAUAGUCAGUGUCAUCACUUUCUUGUCUCUGUUUAAUUUCUAGCUUAGGUUGCUGUUUAUUUUGCCUAUAUCAAGUCACUUAUUUAGUGAACUAAUAGUAAGAUGAAAAGAAAAUGGCAAAAACGUCUUUGUAUACUUAAACCACAUGGUUUGGAAAUAUAUCUAAAGUAAUACUGCUUUUUCUCCCACUCGGUGUUUCUUUGCCAUACAAAAUUGAUUUUUCUAUGAAUUCUGAACAAACAGACACAAAAUUGUAGUGUCUCUUGGAUUUAAUAUACCUUGAAAAUGCAGCCAGCAUACCAGUUUUAACUUCACUAGUUUUGGCUUCUCUACAGAAUAUAAAGGAAACUUUGUCAACCAAAAAAAUCUGGAAUCUGGUGAUUCAGAUGCCAUUAGAAAUAAAUAAUUGAGAGCUAGAACUAAAUGUUAGGCCUCAUGGCAGCUUGCCAUACACUAAGCAAGUGUUCCUAAUCAGAUUGAGUACUCCCUAUGUGAGCAGAAGAAGCCACCGUGUUUGCAUUGAUAAAACUGGGUUAAAGCUAUCCAAAGGGGCUCCAGACUCUUGCAGCCAGCAGAGAUUUCUUCAGUGCAUUAAAUACCCACACCAUACUCUAUAUUUUACUUACAGAUUUUAGUAGCUAAUGCAAUAAGUACCAUACUUAAUUCUCUACAUGCAUUAUUUCAAUUAAUUGUAGGAAUAAUCUUAUGAACUAAGUAUAUUUAUCUCAUUUUGCAGAUGAGGAAAUGAAGAACAAAUAGUUUGUCUUGCAUCCCAUGGGAUGUGUUGAGUAGACAUUCCAGUGUGUCCUGACUUUGGAGGCUGUAUUUAUGGCUAGUCACAACACACAAGCCCAGCUGUGCCCACAUAAGCUUUCCUGCCAACCUCACAAUACACUUAGGAUAGGUUGUAUUAUCUCUAUUACAAAUGGCAAAACUAAGCUCUAGAGGCUUCCAGAGGCCCACCCAAAGUUGUAGGCUAGUGAGUGGUGCACUAGGACCAUCUGGUCUUGACAGUAUGUGGAGAGGUCAUUCUUCCCAACCAAUAACACCACUGUUUUCCUGUGGUCUGGAGGUGCUGUCUCUGGUUUGGAGAGCACUCCCUGGAUCUUCUCGGAUGAGUGUCUUCUCCUCACCAUGUACCGCUGCAGCAGGGGUGGAGUAUAACGCCUCCAUGCAUGGCCUGUCUUUGUUCUCAUUCCCACCUUAGGCUACAAUAGUGAAGGCUGGCAAGGUGGAAAACAAAGGAUUUGUCUUGUUCAUCAUUGCCUUCCCCUUCUCUGACCUCUGUACAUCAAGCACACGCCUUCCAGACCCUUUAGUUCAUUAGUACCUUGUGUUCUAAAGUGCCUCCCCACCAUAAAAAUAGAAAAUGAUCUGUGAGUCAUUUACACUUUAGCUUGAAUGUGCUUUCGUGACUUUCCCAAGGCUAUUUGUGCUUAACUCCUUUCUUCCAACUGCAGAGUGAAGGACUCUGGACUAUCCUGGCUCCUUAGACAAGAAGAACAAGCUAGGAAUCAUUGGCCUACACGUCAGACACUGGAGACCCAUUGCCUGUAAAUGCUUGCACUUCAAUUGAUGUAGACCUUGCAUUCAGAGCAUCCUAUGCUGUUCAGUGGACUCUCAGCCUUCCUCUGCCUCUGUUUAAGUCAGGAUUUCAAGAAACGCUUGAACCCACGAGCCUCGAAUCCUCCAACAUUGUUAUCCAUAACUGAGGAAUUACACCACUCUAAUCUCAGACAAUGCCAAACUGGAAGACUGCUGCCCACAUACGCGUGCUCCUUUGUGUUGGGAGAAAUGAAGACACAAAUGUUCUAACUUCAGUUUGUCCUUUUUUAAGAGCAUAAUUGUUUAAAAUAAAAACUUUAAUCACAAGAGCUAGAGCAUGGCAUUGCAGGCAGUAAGAAAGUAUUUCUACAACUGAAAUGUCAAAAGAGAUGGAGAAGCUGAGGAAUUCUUUGGCUUUAAAGGUUGGAGUCCAGUAUAGAAUGUGGCCUGCCUGACAAUCAGAUGCCAUGGCAUAAGGAUGCUCCUGUUCAGACAUGUGCACCUCUGCUUCACCUGGGGAGGAUGCUUCGAGGUACCAGAGUUCUCAUGUGUGUUUUUAAUUACAAUAAAUUAAAUCCUCACUCCUCUCUUCCUGUCUCUGUCAGUGUGUUGCUUUCUCAUAUGCUAUGGUUUGUAAAUGUAUUUCUCUUCCUAAUUUGGCUCUGUUUUUAGAUCUAACCGUGAGUUCUUUAUUCUCUCACACAGACAUAUGACAGUGGGGGAGGAGAGCAUGCAUACUUCCCAAAUUUUCACAAGAAAUCUGUCUUGCUGUCUCCAAAGAGCGGAAACUUAGCGAGGAAUAGUCUCAGCUCCCUUCAAACUGUAUUCAGUGGCAUGUUCAAUAAAUAAGCCACACACACCAAUAAGACAUUUGUCACGAGCCCGGCGAAGGCUUCAGGAGUGUGAGAUACAGUGGACUCAAUGUGCAGAGGGGAUUCCACAGCCUUGGGUGACUUUGGGAGCCAUCUCUGUUGAUACCUCACUCAUAUCCGCUGCAUUUUUAUCAUACAGGCUUCCAGAACCCUUUGUCCAUAGUGUGGUUAGGAGCCCCUAGGAAACACACUUCUUCAGGCAGCCCUAACCAGCCGCUGCCAGGGAGGCGAGUAUGAAUCCCAGCUCCCUUGCUGGGGGGCGCCAGCAUUCUGGGACAUGCAGUUUGAAGUUGCCCAGAGUUCCUUUCCUAUGAGAGCCAGCUGCAGCCUUCACUGCAUGGCUGAUGUAAUGAGAUUCCCUUUACUGCCAGGCCACUUCCUGUUCCCAUCUCUCUCCUCAGUUCCCCCAGCGCCUUCCACAUCUCAGCCAACCUCUCUCUUCAAGUGCUUGGUUCUAGAUUUCUUUUGGGGCUUCCAAAUCCAAGACAGUUUGUACACAUCCCAAAGCAGAAGUCUAAAUUUAGUUUUGCCAAAACCACUGUGCACCCUGAGUUGACAAGACACAUUUUGCAAACACCUAGGUAAACAUUCUGAGCUAAGCUCCUGGUGAAUGCAUGACUGUUAGAAUGUAGUCUUUAGAGGAGUGAAACAGGCCAUGGCCAUUCGUUCCCUUCCUUGAUUGUCCUCCUGUAUUGCAGGAUAGCCAGUUCGUAUUCAUUGGUGAAAAGGCUAGAAGCUCAACGCAGUGUGCUAAGCACACUGAAUGUGUGCUUCUGAGCAUGGACAGGCCCCCAGUGACUGCUCUGUCUCUUCUGAGCAUGGACAGGCCCCCAGUGACUGCUCUGUCUCUUCUGAGCAUGGACAGGCCCCCAGUGACUGCUCUUCUUCUAGAUGUUGGCCAGGUUGGUAGUUGGUUGGUUUGGUUUAGUUUGAUUUGAUUUCUUGAGACAGGGACUCACUCUCUAGUCCAAAAUUGGUCUGUAGCUCAUUGUAUAUCUCAGACAAACCUCAAAUCAUUGACCUUCUCCUUCCUCAAGCCAGCCGAGUUCUGGGAUUGCAAGUGUGAGCAACCAUACUGAGCCAUCUCUUCUAUUCAUAGACAUAGGAGACAAUAGCUUUGCUGUUUUCUAAUACCAACCUGAGUAAGCCAGCCACCAUUCCAGCCUAAGGAAGCCCUUGCCCUCCCACAUUUCCCAUGGGUGGUAAAUUAAGUUUUGCCUUCAGUUACCUUAAGAAAAUAAGGGUGCUCCUUACAGCCUCUUCCAGCACACCAGUCUGUCCCUAAGACCCAAGUGACACAUCCAGCUAGGCCACUGUCCUUUCUGUAUCUCCUUCCUUGCUUCAUGUCAUCACCUUUGGAUGCUCUAACACACAGCAUACCAGCAGAAGCUAUGUGAGUCUGUAUCAGAGCAGAUUAGCUUUGGAAAAAAAUGCAAUCCUCAUAGAAGACAAUGCAUUUGAUUCCAUACAAAUGGGGUCCUUUCUACUUCAUGUAAGAGAGGCUUGAUUUUGUUUUUGAAACACACAGUCUGUGGGCUGCAUAGCAGCUUGUGCUCAGCAACAAGAACUCAGACAAAGAAGCCAAGGCAAUGUUCUUAUUUACAGAGGUUGCCAUCUGAGAAAUUAAUGUCUACUGUUGUUCAGUAAUUAGGAAAAUUUAGGGCCCUAGUGCUCCAACAUCUUGCAUUUAAGGUUGUAUGUUAUCUGUGUUUUCAUGAGACUUUGUUGGAUUUCUGUCAUUAAUAACAGGCAUAAGCCCAGCAAGCAGCAGGACAUGCAUUACAUUUAAUCAAUUUGCUAUUUGUAUUCAUUAUGCAUGUCCUCCAUUUUGAGUCAUGAAAAAUUGAAAGGCCAUUGCAAAUAGAAAGAGCAUCAUGGAUUACAAAUGAUGUAACAAGAGCAGAAGUGCUAUUAAUUGGUCAAUUGUGCUUGUCAGCCCAUUUAAAGUGAUUAAGGCAGAAAGAUUAGAAAGGACAUGAAUGUGCUUGGAAACAGGAACCCAAGAGCACUGGGGACCCCUUCAGUCCUCAGUGCCCAGAAGAAUGCAACAAAACCAAAUGAUGUUUAUUACCAUUUCAUUCAGCAAAUAAUGGAUGAGCACCUUCCAUGUGCCUUAGGCUAUGGUGAACACAGCAGAAAACAAUGCAAAUGCAGCCUAUGACCGCAGGGUGACAUUCCAGUGUGCUCAGAACAGACGGAUGUACAGUGUGAGCCCCAUAAUGUAAGCCAGAAAACCCAACAGGAGGCUGGGGUGCAUAAAGUGAUGGGCUUGGGAGAAGGUGUCUGAGAAGUAACAUCUGAAGGGGGGGGGUCAAAGUGAAGACCUAGGAUGAGAAGGUUUGGGCUCAACACCCCAGUCUCCUCCUACCACUAAAGAAGGAAGGAGAAUUUGUGUAUUGGUAUCUCCUGCAAUGUGGGGUGGCUUUACUUGGGAUUUCAGACUUCACAGUGGUGAGAAAGGGAAGCACAGGGUAGAAAGUACAUUGAAUUUAAUCUUUUCUUGGGUUAGUGACGGUUCUGCCCUCCCUCAUGAUGCUGGGCAGUAGCAGUGGUCCACAGCGCGUUCAGCCACAUAACCAUGAAGACACACGAAUGUUCUGAGCCUUUUGGAUACAAGCUUUCAAUAAGUCCCAUGAGAUACUCAACACUUUCCUAGAAGUAGGCUUUUUGUGGGACUGCUUACCCCAGUGUUAGGCCAAUGCAGUUCUCAGAGCACAGGUAAGACAGGAGCCAGGAGUCCUGUAGGGUGAGUGUACUCAAGGCAUUCAUGGGACAUUCUUAACCUACCCUGUUUUAUUGGGAUGGAGCCCCAUCAUAAACUGACAUAGGAGAUUUUGUUUUUGUUUUGUUUACUUAUGGGAUUAGGUGAAACACAACCCAAUGGAUGGCUUCCAACAAGGAAGUUCACCCUAUCAGUUUUCUCCUGGGGACCCUUCUGUGGUAGCAGUUUGGUUUAAGUGAACCGAUGGCUGCAUUUCCCACUGUGGCCGUAACCUUCCACACUCAGCCAGGGUACACAGGUGCGAGGGGACUGGCCUCUGCUUCUCGUUCACUACCCUGCCCCUGCACAUCUGCUGUCUGGAACCCUUGGAAACCCACUCCCCAGCACCUCCUCAGGGAGCCCUUGCCACCAGGACUCCACGCCCAGGUCCUCAGCAGACUUUGCUCUAUGUACUGCAUCUUUACUGCCCGAGUUAGAUGCUGUUGCUAACCUGCUUCUCAGCAUCUUUUGCACUGCUAAGUGCCAUGGACUCCAGGAUAUGCUGCUCAGGUUCAGCAUUGUGUCCACUCGCCUGCAACAGCGCCCGCACCAUGGAGAGCCUCAAGAAGCUGGUGUAUGUGAAUGAGGGACCCUGUCAAAGGGAAGGCGUGGACUGCUGGGUUUCUGCUUUUUGUGCAAAGAGCUAUUUAAAUGUUUCCCUGAGACCCACGUGUUAGAAAUGGAUGUUUAUUCUGACCGGCGUUCUCUGUGGUGGUCAGGUGGCAUCACGGUACGAUCUAUGGGCAUACACUUCUAACCCCCAUACUAUGCCUUCUCAACAUACUGACUAAAGUGCUGUGUAUGUCUUUACAAGAUGAGGCAGACCCGAGUGAAGCCUGGUGACUGAGUACCACAGCAACCCUGCUGUAUAGGAUUGACAGUGUAGGACUCCCUGCUUUGUGCAGAGUCUGGGCAGUUCAACAGAAGGAGGUGGUAUGGUGUGAUGGUACUUUGCAGGUGUAUUCUGCAUAUGACUCACAGUGGACUCCUGAGGCUGUCUUGUGCUUGGCUCCAGAGCAGGUGCUGGAGAUCCCAGAUGGAGGAGCCGUGGUCAUUGGAAGUUGUUCCUGCACCCACCUGUACAUUAGAAUCAUUAGAACCAAGGCCCCACCUCAGGCCAGCUGAGUCAGGAUCUCUGGACGGGCGUUUCACAUCUGCCCAGAAUGUUUUGAGUUCUAAGAUCUGCUCUUAGGAACCAGGUUGAGACCCACAGUCCUGUCAGAAGAAUGGCUAUGUAAUGACCAAAACUGAAAUGCAGCACAAGGAUGGCCAUAGUGGAUGUCAGGUGUGAGUCAGCGAUGGUGACAUUUCUCCUUAGUGUGUAACUACACACAGAAAGAAGGUUUUUAGUGCUCUAAGACUGAUCUGCAGUGGAUAAAUGCUGUGCUUGCCCAUCGCUCACCUCCAAAGAACUGAUUUAAAAAUUGUUCAUAGCCUUCAUUAAACAAUCAUUUUCCUUAUACGGGAUCAAAUGAGUGAUCUUGGUUUCCUUAUACUCCAAGUAUUAAAUGUUGGACACUUAAUCAAGCAAACAAUUUUUAUUAAGAUAUAGCCUUCCUAAUUAGGGAAGCAAGUGGGUCGAUGAUGUGGCCAUCGAACAGAAGGGCUCAGCUUGCACUUGGGAGCUGUUUUGAAGGCACAGGACGUCUAAAUGUCCAUGAGCUCUCCGAAGCUCUCCACCUAGACUGUCUGCACCUUGGGGGAAGUUCAGACCUGGGGUAAGGUACGUUUUCUGGGUAAUAACUGAAUUUAUGUUGCUUGGUUGACAGUGAGUUGAUUGGCACACCAAGCUAGGGCCCCAGGAAGACUUCUGGUGACUCCCGAGGAAGCCCUUGCAGUUGGUGACUCUGGAGGCCAGGCUCCUCCCUAGAAAGUCCAGCCCUGCAUGCACCGUUGUGUGCAUGCUGCGGUCACCCAGAGCUUGAAGCAUGCCUGUGCCUAAGAUGCUCAGGCAGCCCGUGAGCUGAGGACAGCGCUGAGCACAGGUCUGUCCCUGGAAGAGCUCUAGAGUAAUCUCCACGCAGCCAGGCUGGGAAGUGCCAGUGCACUCAGGUGAGUGAUUGAAGGAGAUAAUGAGGAAGUCACCCUGGUGGCACAUACCCCAAACUGCAGGUCUCCACACAUCCCCACAUCAGCAAAGGGCCAGGACUCCAAAGGGAGCUUCAAUGGAAAAGAUGAACCCGUGUCCCAGCAAAUACCCAGUCCCUUUGUUUACUUCAUGAUUCCUGGCUUGCAGAAAAGACACAGAACAGGACCAAGUAUCCAUGGGUACAGACUUCACAUUUCUAUACACAUCACUCCUAGAGUGAGUGAUGGGAGGAGCUGCUUGGAAAUAAAUGCUCAAGGAGUCCGAAGCUAACCAAAGUGGGCCUGUGCAGUUGGACCCUGAGUGCUCCUGGAGAGGUGCGUGAGAGCUUCCAAGAAGCACAUGCUGGGGUCUGGGCUUCACUGCAGAGUCCCAUGAAGCCUUCUGUUUGUCCCCAAGCCCCUUGGAUGAUGUCAUACCUCCCUCUUCUCCAGAGCUCCUGGAACAGCGAUGACAGCUGGGAGGACUCCCGAAAGUUCAUGCUGAGCAGAAAUUACAUGGCAAGCUGGGAUGGAGGUGUAGAGGGAGGUGCUUGAAUUCCGUGUGCUUAGCCUCUCACAACCCUGAGCUCCAUGCCCAGUGCGCUGAGGAGCUGUCUUUGGCGGUGACGCGCCACACAAAGAGGCUGAGGGUGAGUACACGGAGCAGAUCAAAGGUACUGAGGUCUGGUAGGACAGAGCAUGACUGUUCCAAAAGCCAAACAUUCGUCCAAAAUCCAUCAGCUGGCAUCUAGACAGAGUGGGGAGUGGACUUCUACCCCGCCCUUCUCCCAUGAGGCCACUGUCCUCUUCUUGGCGUCACUACCUUGUUUCCACUGUCUGUUAUGUCUCAUUGCCACCGGAGUGGAAGUCGAGAAGGUGAGAAGGACGGUAUGACUAAGGAAACGGAGCACGGAGGCCACUUUGUUCCUCGCUGUGCAUGGGAGAUCCUGGUGGUCAGAAAUGAGAUCGCUUCUGUUCUAGGGGCCUCACGUGUGCUCUUGAAUGGCUGCCCCCCGCCCACUGACCUUCCUUCCACCUACCAUGGAAAAAGGUGCUGCAGCAGCCAUGAUAUCAUAUCCUGAUGUGGAAAGUCACAGGGAGCAACCAGCAUCUCUGUACCCUUGUCUCGUCACCAAAAAAGAAGUUUCCAAGACCAGCUUCUCCUGACUUUGCAACAAAGGAGGGGAUUGGCCACAAUGUGAUACCUUCCUAUGUAGCUAUAGGGCAAGCUGUGGAACUGGGUAUGUUUAGUCUCUGUCUGCCAUCCCCUGCUAAAGGAGGUUCUUCUCCAGCUGGCCCUCUGUCUCUCUCUAGCCAGUCUCCUGCCCCAUGCCCAUGGUGUAUGCUAUCACUGGGUUUUAUCCUUGCCCUUACCCUUGCUAGUAAUUCCUUUUCUUAUCACUGUGACAAAAUACCCAAAAUAAAGACUUUGAAUGUGUAAA